UGAUGAUUGUGACAAUGCAGCUGUGUGAACAUGAUCCGAAAGUUAAUGCAACUUCUCUUCUUAUUGAUCCAAACAGAGCACAGUUCCUUGAAUAUGAGUCACUCACAUUUUAUUGUGAGGGGGUCUCUUACUGUGAAGUUGUGCAUGCAUCCAAUAGGAAAAUGCUCACAUGUAACAAAACUAAUAGGAGAACAUCAACAGGGUCGUCCUGCACUAUAAAUAAUCUUUAUCCAGCUGAAAGUGGAAAAUACUGGUUUGAUGCUGAAGGGGGUAAAAGAAGCAACAAUGUCAUCAUCACUGUGACUGGUAAGUUUUUAUCAUGACAACAACAUUUUGUCAAAAACUCAACAUGAGUGUAUCAUUAAAUCAGCUUUUCCUGGAAAUUCCUGCUCUUCCUGUGAUGGAGGGAGAAGCUGUAACUCUGACUUGUAAAAACAAGACGACUUCCUCACAGACAUCAGCUCAUUUUUAUCAAUAUGGACACUUGAUCAGUAACAGUUCUACGGGAAACAUGAUUAUUAACAAUGUUUCCAAGUCUGAUGAAGGACUCUACAAGUGCAGCAUCUCUGGAGCUGGAGAAUCAGCAGAGAGCAGGUUGAUCAUCACAGAUGGUCAAAAAGAGAUUUCCUCUUCCAGUUCCACCCCAUGGAUCAUUGUCACAAUUUUCCUGUUGGUUCUGCUGCUGGUGAUCGGGCGACUUCAGUUCAAAAGUUAA
rnacentral:lncRNA from 1 species